rnacentral:rRNA from 1 species
ACGGACCCGGGGGGCAACUCCCGGGUUAGUGGCGAACGGGUGAGUAACACGUGGGUAAUCUCCCCCCGAGUGAGGGAUAAGCUUGCGAAAGCGGGUCUAAUACCGCAUGACACUCCGGGACGUCGGUCUUCGGAGUCAAAGCCGUAAGGCGCUUGGGGAUGAGCCUGCGUCCUAUUAGCUAGUUGGUAGGGUAAUGGCCUACCAAGGCGAUGAUGGGUAGCCGGCCUGAGAGGGUGAACGGCCACACUGGAACUGAGACACGGUCCAGACUCCUACGGGAGGCAGCAGUGAGGAAUUUUGCGCAAUGGGGGCAACCCUGACGCAGCGACGCCGCGUGGAGGAAGACGGCCUUCGGGUUGUAAACUCCUGUCAGAGGUGAAGAAUGCCCGCAAGGGCUUGACGGUAACCUCAGAGGAAGCCCCGGCUAACUACGUGCCAGCAGCCGCGGUAAUACGUAGGGGGCGAGCGUUGCUCGGAAUUACUGGGCGUAAAGGGAGUGCAGGCGGCCGGUUAAGUCGAAGAUGAAAUCCCGAGGCUUAACUUCGGAAUGGUCUUCGAUACUGAUCGGCUUGAGGCUGGUUGAGGAGAGCG